AAAAAAAAAAAAAAAAAAGAAUGAAAGAAAGAAAGAAAGAGAAAUUCGGGCCAGAGAGGAAGAGCCUGUGUUUCAUCUUUGCACCAAGCCUGCCUGCCUUCCUGCCUGCUGCCAUGAUCCCCAUAAUGACUACUGAACUGACCUGCUAGAGCUUGUGAAGGGACUGGGCCUGUGGAUCUCCAAGACUCGUGGCAGCCACAGGAUAUUCCAGAGGAGUUCCAGUGAGGAUCCAGUGGAGAUGGUGUACCAGAAACAAGAAGCCUUGAACCAGACCAGUGACUCAUUGCAAAGAUAGUUUUCCAGUAAGAUUGACAGGACAAAGAGGUAUGCUAUAUGGCACACUGAAGCCUCCAUUGCCACCAGGACCAAUGAAGAGGUGUUAGAGAGGCAGGAAAGAAGAGAAUGUUCCAUGAUAUUUCCUUUUCUGUUCACCUGGGUCUCCAGGGCUGCUUGGUUACCUGGACAGUGCAGCAACAGCGUGGAAGUGCAAGCAUCUCUGUGCCACUUGACUUGGAGUGACCAGUGCGGUGGCUGGGUCAUGUGGAAGCUCUCCAUUUAGUUUUGAAGAACUUCCAUGCUGAUGUCCAUAGUGGCUGCACAAGUUUGCAUUCAUUGUCUAACCAUUUCUUUUCCUCCAAUUCUCUCCAGUAGUUGUUGUCCUUUUUAUUUUUAUUUUGUUGUUGUUUGUUUUGAGACAUCUAUAACCUGGGAUGGACUGGCAUUUACUAUGUAGGUCCGGCUGACCUUGAACUCAUAUUCUUCUUGCCUCAGCCCUUCAAGUCCUGUGAUCAUAGCAUGGAUGCAACAAUACCCAUCACCUGUUUCCUCAAUGCGGUCUAUUCUGAAGGGAGUGAGAUACAUGCUUUAUGUACCAACCCCACAUCUGAUGGGUAUCUGUAGAGAGAUGCCCUCCUGGCCAUUUUCUAGGCUGAUGAUUGUUGUUAUCUUUGCUGUACAGAAGAGUCUUAAGUCUGUGCUACUGUGUACUUGACCCUGUGACUCCCAUCAGCCCUUGCUAAAGGCACUCCCGGCCUCCUUUGCAGGUGUACUGGAUAGGCUCCAGUGGUCAGAGACAGACCUCGGGAAGGAGGCACACUGCUUGCAGAUGAAAGCCACUGUGAGAGAGUGUGCUUUUGAGCUUCAUGUGAGCCUUUCAAGGUGUCUUUUCACUGGUGCUUCCAGACGGUGACCCAUUGUUUCAAUUUCUUUUUUAGAAAAAACAAAACAAAACCCCUCCCAACUUUCCAAAAGAAGGUUAAUGGGAUAAGGCACAUCUCCACUGCUUCAGGUCAAAGCUUUAUCUUCACUAUUCAACUCUCUUCAGCUUUGACCAGAAAUUGUUUUUCUCAUACAAUUCUUUUUUUGCUGAGAUACAUUCUAUACACCUUAGGGUGCCUCCCUACCUUUCCUUUUUGCAGUACUCGGGGUUGGUCCUGGGCCUCACAUGUGCCACUGAACCUCUUUCACUUAUUGAAAGUGUAUGCAGAGUUCCUACCCUACUACCCACUCCUGCAACCACCAAUUUACUCUCUCUGUCUAUCCUCUUAGUGUUGAGGAUUGAACCCAGGGCGUUUCACAUGUUACAUGAAUACUGUACCACUGAGUGGUAGUUAUUCUUUGUGGAUUUUUCUAUUUUGACAGUUCAUAUACCCAGAAUCAUAGGACGUGUGGCCUUUUCCAUCUGAUGCCUUACAUCCAGCUGAGGGUUUCCUUGACUCGUCUGUGUCAUGGCAUAUACUGCUACUCCAUUCUGUUUUAUAGUAGAAUUAUCCUAUAGAAUCACAAUACCAUUUUAUUAACCCUUAAAGAUGGAUAUUGGGGUUGCUUUACUUUUUUUGUUAUCAUGAACAACAGACAUUUGGUUGCUGUGAGCAUUUAGGUGCGGUGUGUGUGUGUGUGUGUGUGUGUGUGUGUGUGUGUGUGUGUGUAGAUAGUUGCAUGCACUUUUCCUGGGUGUAUAGCUAGGAGCAGAGGUUCUGGUUUCUAUGGUAACUCCAUGUUUGAUAUUUUAAGAAGCUGUCAAACUUUUCCACAAAGAGGCUGCUCCAGUCCACACCCCUCCAGUAACACAGGAAGGUUCUGGUCCAGUUUCUCCACAUGCUCACCAACACUUGUCCUUCUUUCUGAUCAUGCCCUCCUGCUGGGAAUGAAGUGUCAGUGGUUAGAUGCAGGAAGAGAAUAGAAGAUUGCACAGAG
ensembl:lncRNA